UAGGGAAUCUUCCACAAUGGACGCAAGUCUGAUGGAGCAACGCCGCGUGAGUGAAGAAGGUCUUCGGAUCGUAAAGCUCUGUUGUUGGUGAAGAAGGAUAGAGGCAGUAACUGGUCUUUAUUUGACGGUAAUCAACCAGAAAGUCACGGCUAACUACGUGCCAGCAGCCGCGGUAAUACGUAGGUGGCAAGCGUUGUCCGGAUUUAUUGGGCGUAAAGCGAGCGCAGGCGGAAUGAUAAA
rnacentral:rRNA from 1 species